ACAUCCUUGAUGAAUUAACUGGGCUUACUUUUCCCUCUCAUUUGAUCUGUUUUAUUGUAAAUGCAGUAUCCGUUUUUAAAGUGGCUUUGACAAAGUAGCACGUAACAACACAUGGUGGUCCAUGUGCAGCGGCAGCAGUGGUCGGCGCUCCUUUGGUUCUGGCGGUCGUCGGCUUCACCACCGCUGGGAUAGCAGUAGGCUCCUAUGCUGCGGCGAUGAUGUCGGCUGCUGCUAUCGCUAACGGAGGAGCGGUGGCCGCCGGGAGCACCGUGGCUAUUCUGCAGGCAAUAGGUGCAGCUGGUUUGACGGCAGCUGCAAAUGCGGCGGGAGCAGGAGCCGGAGCAAAUGUGUUAGUACUGGUUGCAAUUAUUUGAAAUUCAUGAAGGAAAAAUGUCAAUUUUUGCUAAUUGGAAGGUAAUUGUAAAUUACACCAUGCAGCAUCUCUGACAACUUACAUGUUUUGGUCAAUAAACAUGUGUACCAUCA